rnacentral:lncRNA from 1 species
GCAGCUAAAAUCAUGGGAAAAUAUGUUAUCAAAAGAACUGCACUAAAAUAUUUAAGUGUAAGUAUAUAAAAUCCCAACGAAAGACUGCACUAAAAACCAAGACCAUAUGCUUAUGCUACUAAAUAUAUGCAAUGAUUAAUGAAUAUGCAAGUGUAGGAGAUGCUGUAAAUUAUAUUGUAUUGUUAUAGCAAGGAGGUUCAUUGGAAUUACAUGGAUCAGUAUUAUUAAUAACAACUAUACUGAAUAUAUACAUGUGCAGCUAUGUACUGCACAGUAUGUACAGGUGGUCAUAUAGCCUACAUAAGUAGUAUUUUGUCCAGUCAAAAAGCAUUUCCAUAGUUCAUUUGAUGAAAAAAAAGAUCACAUAAGUCAUUAUAAUGAGAAACUUUCUCAAAAUAAUGGGUUAGUAUCUCAAAAUAAUGGGUUAGUAUCUCAAAAUAAUGGGUUAGUAUCUCAAAAAUAUUGAGAAACUUUCUCAGGAUCUUUUUUGUCUUCAUCCCAUGGCAACUUUUUUGGAGUUUUAAGUUUGGCUGAUAAGGAGCAGCACGUUCUCUCUUCUGCCUGCAAUGACACACCGCACCGGGCUGUUGUUUAGUCAGUGGGAUGAAACGGAUCGCAGUAGGCUAAACCGGAGGAUCUAGCUGGCAUGUCCGCGUAAGACUUUGUUCUUUUAUAAUACAUUUGAAAAAACAGUCAAUCUCCACGCUGGGACAGGUGUUGCUGAACAGCUAACGUCCGGCUAUGAGAGUCCUCCUCCGGUGGUUGACGGCGCCUCCUGCAGGGAAGUGUUCACUCCCACAACGACAUGGCUGCUGCAGUCAGGAUGAGGACGUGGAGCUGUCCGACCAGAGGAGUUUUUUAUCCAUGGGCAGUCCUUUUUUUAGUUUUUCUCAGCACCUUAAAUGCGGUUGUUGCGGCACCAGAGACAGGGCUUUGGAAAAUCACAGUUGUAAAUACCUCAAGACCCCUGCUGUUAAGGAAAUCCAUGUAUAAAGACACUGACAUUGAAUUGAAAGUUGUGCGUUUUGGCUGUCCUGAGGAGGUGACCUUCGAUAUUCACUGGUAUUUAAAAUACUACCCCUGUCACAACUGAAUUCAACAAUAUUGAAGUAAGUACAGACGCUUAAUGGCAAACUAAUUAUCAAGACAGUCUGUCUAUCUGGACUCGAUUGUUUCUGAAUGCUGAAUCGUG